UUGUUAUUCGGUCGGUGACUUCAAUGGGGUUCGAUUUCAAAACUGCGAUGGUAAAUAUCGAAAAAGCAUACAGACAAUCAUGUAACAGUAACUACAGUUGUACUUGAAAACUAUAGAAGAAACAUUGGUUGAUACAGAGAGAACGUAUUUCUGAUUAUAGAAAUGUUUUAAAAGUACGCAAUACAUACAAAUUUUAUACAAACGUACGUGUGAAUACAAAGUACUCGGCUAUGUGUGAGUGACUGCGCUGUGAAGUUGGCCUUCAAAGCUUCCAUUCCGUAGGUUAAUCACACGAUAAUAGCUGAACAGUUAGCAAGUGCGCGAGUGUAGGUACGCGUGCGAACUACUCCGCGCGCCGCGUCCCUCUCGCCAUCACCGCCACAUUUCAGACCGCGCAAAGUGUAAGCAAACAAAAGGUAGACUUCAUUAGUUCAAUUUUUUAAAAAUUCUUGACGUCUCGUGAAGUAUGGGCCAAUUAGUCGGUUUCCGACCGAGUAAAAUUAUCAAGUUCGUCAUUGAUAGUCAUGGCUAUCGAGGCUUCUUAUAACGAACAUAUAUGUAUGUAUGUAAACAAAACAAUUGUGUUUUUUAUGAGACCUUAUGAGUGCCAUUUGUCCAAUUCGAAAUCGGUCCUCUUGUAUUAUCAACACUAAUUUUGCUACUUAUGCGACGACACGUACUUAUGUGUUUGGCAGUUAUGUAAGUAGACAUGUCUGUUCCUCUGCGGCGCUUACGAGUGUUCAUACCUAUUUGUUCACAUACUCGCAUCGCCGCUCUCGUUUAAAUAAUUUAUUUGCGUGGAAAUUCAAUUGAAAUGCGCUCAAUUUGGAAUUGAAAUUUACAUUUAUGCGCCGCUUUGUUGUUGUUGCUGCUGUUCUCGUUUAUCUAGACACAACUCAAUUAGUCGGCGGGCAACGCGUUUCCAUUUUCAUUUAUGGUACUCACACAUUCGUCGAGCGAGCGUUGACUGCAAGCGCGUAACUUAUUCAACAACCGACUGACAACGAAGACAAAACAAUUUAUGCAACUUAUUUUCAACAAUGCAGCAGAUUAAAUAGCGUUCGGAAGUUAUGACGAAACGAAUAGCCAUGACGCCAACAAACGCGAAAACGACCAGACAAGAAUUGGAGGGUAUCGUGCGCCACGGUGUACUUAAGACUAACAAAGGUCGAUAAAGUCAAUGCAACGGAAUCCAUCUGAUUGAGUUUGAAUUAAAAAAUCUCAAAUAUACGUAGAAAUUCCUUGAACUUUCAAGGCUUUUAAGAAAACUACAGUAGACAGCCGCAUUGAAGUCACUUCAGUCACUCGGUAACGGGUAUACAUUACACGUUUACAUUACCAUCUGCAACGGACACAAAACUUAAAAUUUCAGCAUCUCCAAAAUGUGCAUGUUAAUGGAUGCUUCUCUGCUCGUCGAUUUUGAGGUGCUUCACAGAAACUCUGAAAACCAUUAGAAUGAUUAAAUUGUAUCAAAAGAGUACACUGAAUGCAGCUGUAAUGCUUUUUGUCAAAAAUAACCCAAAUUGGAUAGCGCAAGAAGACAAUGAUCCGAAGCAUAGGGUCACACUUUAGAUUGGCCAUCACAGUCACCAGCCGCCAAACCAAUAAAGAAUAUUUGGCUUUAAUGAAAACUGAAACAUUAAGAACACACUUAACGCCAAUGAAAGAAUUUAUUCGGCUCCUCCAACAUAACAGGAUGUCACUUUCUAUGGAAUAUGGUAAAAAUUUAGCUGUAAGUUGCCAUCAGCCGACAGCGCAGGAGAUUGGAGCAAGUAUUAAUUGAACUACAACAAAAGAAUUCUAUAAUUAUAACAUUUUUUCCAAUAAACGCCACCUACACUUUGGUUAACGAAAA